UGCAUAUGUCUUUAAAUUACAGCAGGAAGUUCGGACAAGUAAUGAUUACGGAUUGAAUAAAAAUUACGCACUGAUUUUUGUUUUGAAUUAUAUUUGAUAUUGACAGCACCAUUCAGGAGCGUGGACGGCUGAUACAAAGUUUCGUGAUGUCGAAGAAACCGGGGCGACCAUUGCCCCGUACACCCAGAGAUUCUAACGAAAACGAUAAUGCUAAAAAGAUGGUAGUUAGAAAAUUACCAAGAGGUGUUUCCGUGGAUACUUUAGAACUUUAUUUUGAAAGCAAGAAGCACCAUGAGCGUGCAAUGAGAGUGAAACAUGUUGAUCUAGAUAUUGCCAACGACGAGGCUAUAAUUACAUUUGAUUCUGCUUCAGGUAA